rnacentral:lncRNA from 1 species
AUGAAAAGACAUAUUAAAUGUUGUGCGAAAGAAGAACAGGAUCGACUUUCAACUGCACAUUUAUUGGAGGUCGGCGAUGACUGUGUUGAUUACUAUGAUCAAACAGAGAGCAAUGACGGAGUCGGUGCCUGGUCGCAAGAUGCAUGUAGUUACAGGAUUGAUAUUUGCACCAAGGGCAAACUGUCCAGAAAAAUUAUUUCAUAUCAGAGAAGAGAGUGUGCAGAGAAUACAUGUGAUGUCAUAUCGCAAUCUCAGCAUUACAACGACCCUGAGCGGUUCAUUGAACAAUACAGAAGUGACAGAUUGCGCCGUUUCCCCUGUCACACACAUAUCCCUACACAUCCGGGGACAUGGGUGGUGCUGAAAAGCUGCGAGGAAGAGCCCUUCGAUUUUACCAUGCCACCAAUCAGAGGUAAAAACAACAGCGCUACUGGAGACUACUUGGAGCAACAAUAUGCACUUAUAUCUGAAAAAAGAGACACGUUUUCCAAACACAAACAGACGGAUGAAUGUAAAAAGUUAUCUUCUGCAUGUGUUCAAGAUGAUGAAAUGCUCUGUUUUACCUGCCACGCUAUGCUAAGGUCAUUUCAAAAUUGUGGAGACAAGGAGCUGUCCUACUAUGAGCCAAAUGGCACAGUCUACUCACCUAUCAACAACAUGGGCAUCAAGCUGCUGACAGUGCAACAAACACAGACCUCGUUGGACGCCUUGCGGAGGAACCAGCGACUCAGGAGCAGCGCUGUCAUCAGGAGGCACCCACGAGCCAAUAAGAGUGCCACCUUAGGGGACAUCUCCCUGUCAACAUUCAAAAACAACGUGGUGUGGUGUAACGGCUAUCGAGAGACCUCUUCCAUGCAGGCCGCCGCUCUCCCUGAUGUUCCCAGUUCUUCAUCCAAGAAAGGAAACAAUAAGGCCAAUCCUUUUACGGUCAAAGGGUUGAGAAGGCUCCCUCCAAGUCAGAAUGGGACCAGGCCUGGCCGCUCCUUUCCCGAGUCAUCUCCUCCCAGUGGGAGAUCCAUCACCCCAGGCACCCAGCUCUCCUCCACCACCCCCCUACCUCCAUCGCACCCCUGGAAGUCCAGCUCUACAUGCUACCUGACCCCUCCACAGUUGGCACCCACUAAGCCCCUGGUGGUCCAGCAGAGGAAAAAGAGGUCAGUCAUGUCAAUGCAAAGUAACAGCCAGAUUAUGACCUGA